CCCACCCCCUUACACUUUCCACAGGAAAUGAUUAACUCGAACGGCUGCUGGUUCCCAUGGUAACCGGCUCUCAACACUUGGAGACAUUCUUUGGUGCUGGAGGCGGGCAAACAGCCAGAGCUGGGAAGAAGAGCUGUGCCCGCAUUUCAUUCUGGAGAGAGCGGCAAUAUUUCCCCUCUGGGGUGUGGAAGGAGGAGAAGAAAGAAAGAGACUUCACAUGCAGCCUGAAUGAUGAUUCUGCUGGAGAUAGAGUGGGGCUGGGAAGGGAUGGACUCUGUGUCCCCUCUUUGCAUGCCAGGUUAGCUGCACUUGAAAGCACAACCCAAUGGCCAUCACUGCCCCAGCCAUCUCACUAAUGGACUUGUCGAGGAUGCUGGUGGAAUCCAUCAACUUUCUUAUGGCAAAUUCCAGAGAACGUGUUGCUAGAGCCAAGAAUUAUAUUCCAGGCAGCCCAGAAGACUUUGCUGAUGGGAUGCUAAUACUCACUUUUCUUCAUUGGACUAUAGGUCAGCGGGCUGUAAGACAUUUGUAGAGUGCCUGGCCAACUAAAGCUCUCCAUAAAAGCUAGCUGCUACCAUCUACUACAUUUCUCACCACCCAACCUAGCUCACACGAGCCCAGAAAAAAGUACGUUGGCCCUCUUCGAGUAACUCCUUCAAUCGUGUUGUAAGACAAGUUUAUGAGGCAUCAACAAACCUGGGCUGAGGAUGCCUACCUCGUUGGCUUACAUCACUCAGAAUGAUGCCAGAGAGACAACACCGAUGUGGAUAUUACCCGAGAAGCAACUGGGAGGUUUGAGACCCAUGCAGAAGCCUUCCUAAGGGAGGCAUUAGGAGUAAGCUAUCUGCUGACUUAGGGUUUGGUUAAUACCAACCACUAUUGUAAAGACUGUAUCUACUACCUGGUGUAUAGCUAGAGGUGGGUUUUUGGUUUUGUUUGUUUGUUUGUUUUUUGUAACGCAGGUUUAUCAUCCCCUCUCCAUGAGAGCAGGGACUGUUUUUUGUCUUUCUUAG